rnacentral:rRNA from 1 species
UACGUAGGGAGCAAGCGUUGUCCGGAUUUAUUGGGCGUAAAGGGCGCGUAGGCGGCCACCGCAAGUCGACUGUGAAAUCUCCGGGCUUAACCCGGAAAGGUCAGCCGAUACUGCGGGGCUAGAGUGCAGAAGGGGCAACUGGAAUUCUCGGUGUAGCGGUGAAAUGCGUAGAUAUCGAGAGGAACACCUGCGGCGAAGGCGGGUUGCUGGGCUGACACUGACGCUGAUGUGCGAAAGCUAGGGGAGCGAACGGG